UUCUUUGCAGUUUCCCAGGAACAAGCAGUCUCUGCUGUGGUUUUGCAAAUUAGUACAUCCCUCUGCAGAUGGCAGGACUGAUCAGAGAAGUACACCAUGGGUACUUUCAGGCCUUGCAGAGCUCAUGUUCUCCAUCUUGGCGUGCCUACCUUUCUCCAGCUUACAACCGCUCAGCCUUCGGUUCCUAACCUCCAGCUUGGCUUCUUGGCUCCCAACUCCUGGACCCAGACCAGAUCUGUUCAUUCUUGGGGGCCCACCUGCUCCUUCUGCCCAGACUGAAUUCAGAGAGGGGCUCACUCUGAUGAAGUGGAAGAGGGUCUCACCAGGAGAUGGUGCAUGUGGUUUUGUGUUUGUUUGUUGUUUCCAUCCUGAU